UCUCCCACAUUGUCCAUUCCCACGUUCAUCUCCUCCAGCUUCUGGAUGGACCUACACACACACACACACACAAGUCAUCGAUUGGAGUCAAUGAAGCAGCUGAGAGAUUAUACAUUAUUCCACACUAACUGAAACACAAGCUCAUUGAACUACUGUGACACAAAUAAAUGACUUUAGAUCACUAACCAAAACAAAUAUUUUUUUUCUUUUCUUACACAAAUGGUAAUUGAGCAAAUGUAUUUUUGAGCGUGUCAAAAACGAAUCUACGAAUAAAAUGAGAAGAAUAAUGUAUGCUUGGAGGGAUAAAGAAAUAAUGGAUAGAUAGAAAACUAAAAGGAGGGAUAAAAUACCUAAUAGAUGAAGAGGUGGAGGGCUGAAACAAGGUAUUUUUUAAGAUCUUUUCACUACAAAAAGAAAACCCAAAGCGCAUGAAAAAUAAAAACAAACAAGAAUCAAAUAAUACAGAUAUAUGAUAGAGUAGGACUGGACUACAAUCUUCAGCCAGAGUUGAACGUUUAGUCUUUCAAGCCUCCGACAGAUGGAGCGACAUUCAAGAUGGGAGCCACAUAGCUGGAGCAGAGGGAAGAGGUGACAUGAUGACAGGUGAAAGAAUGUUAGGAAGAUUGAUUGGUUUGAUGGACAGAGGAUGAAUGAAUGUAUCUGUAAUGGAAGGAAGGAGGGGUUAAUGGCUGGAUAAACAGGUUGAAGUGGUAGAUAAUAAUAGAUAUUAUGCAGUUGAUAUGAUUGAAAGGCUUAGAGGCUAGAAUGUGUGAUGUCGUCGCUGAUUUAACAAUGGGAGCUUUAGAAUGUUGUAGAAAAAUACAUUCAAGUGAUUCUCUGGUUCCCGGGAAUGUUGAAUAUUAGUUAUUUUUCUUAUCAGAAUUGUUUCCCCAUAUACCCUAACCUUUCUUGGGCUUGUGUGCAAGAUAUUUAAGUGGACAAAGGAAAACCUAUGCGCAUCAUUUGGUAUCAUCAAGACCCUACCAUGUGGAGCAGUGCCGUUGGUAACAUCCAUCUGAACAAUCUUGAUAAGUCAGUUUUGCAGCAUAGCCCUGUACGACACCUUCUCCAUCUUUGGAGACAUCAGCUUCUGCAAGUGAUUUGUGAUGACAAUGGCUCUUCAAAGGGUUAUGGUUUUGUGCACUUCACAACAGCAUGAUGCUCAAUGAGAGAAAAAUGUUUAUCAGACCCUUUAAGGAUGCCCAGAGGAUGAGUGAUGCCAUACAUUAUAAAUCACCAUCUAGAUGUGGAAUAGAGCUCAGUGUCUGAGUCCAGUGUCUCAAUGCACUAUAUCUGACCUCCUCAGGCAAUGGAAGAAAUGUACGGGAAGGAGUUCAACGGGAGGCGGAUCUAUCUGGGCCAGCGCCAGGCAGGGCUGAGACAAGUUUGAGAAGUAGGAACAGGAGGAGAUGUUGGGUGAGGUCUACCCCUGCGUUCACAACAAGCAUCCCAGUCUGUCUGGGAGGAAUACAGGCAUGGAGAAAGACAACUCUGAGUCCCUGUGAUGAAAGAUGGAUGAGGCAGUGGCUUGUUGCCUCCCAGGCCCUCUUUUUAUGUGGAAGCUAAAGUGUCUCAGCUUGACACUUGUCUGACCGGAGCAAAAAUGGAAUAUUGAAAAAUAUGAAACUCCAAAAGCACUCAAGUAUUUCUUUAAAAAAAAAAUGAUUGCAUGAUUCACCAUCUGGUCUAGAUAAGGUUAAGCUAGCCAGGUAUAACAUCUAGGAUCACUGGAUAUAAAGCAAGAUGGCGCUGACAGACACAGUCGCCCUGUUUUCAACUCCUAGCCUACUGUGCAGCAUUUAGCUUUUUUUGUGUUAUUUCUUACUAGAAACGUUCUGAGCAAAUAAUGUAUCAUUUCCUACAGCCAAAAAUAACUUUUGGACAUUACAUAAUUGAUUAAAACACACUGUUUUGCAA